GAAUUCGGUGGAGCGGUAGUUCAGUCGGUUAGAAUACCUGCCUGUCACGCAGGGGGUCGCGGGUUCGAGUCCCGUCCGUUCCGCCA
rnacentral:tRNA from 1 species